CACCAGACUCCUACGGGAGGCAGCAGUGGGGAAUAUUGCACAAUGGGGGAAACCCUGAUGCAGCGACGCCGCGUGAGCGAUGAAGUAUUUCGGUAUGUAAAGCUCUAUCAGCAGGGAAGAAGAUGACGGUACCUGAAGAAGAAGCCCCGGCUAACUACGUGCCAGCAGCCGCGGUAAUACGUAGGGGGCAAGCGUUAUCCGGAUUUACUGGGUGUAAAGGGGGCGCAGACGGCGAUGCAAGCCAGGAGUGAAAGCCCGGGGCCCAACCCCGGGACUGCUCUUGGAACUGCGUGGCUGGAGUGCAGGAGGGGCAGGCGGAAUUCCUGGUGUAGCGGUGAAAUGCGUAGAUAUCAGGAGGAACACCGGUGGCGAAGGCGGCCUGCUGGACUGCAACUGACGUUGAGGCCCGAAAGCGUGGGGAGCAAACAGGAUUAGAUACCCUAGUA
rnacentral:rRNA from 1 species